AUGGAUGAAGGACUCAGGGAGACCCUUUAUCCCACUCCCGCACUACCCGCUCCCUGCCCAGGGCAAGGUCAAUGGGAAGGUGCGUGGGAGGUGACUCGCUCUAUGAAACAAAAGUCAGCACUAUGCCAGCACCCACCCCUCCGCAUGGAUGCUCACGGGUGUCUGGGACCCUGCCCACCUCCCCAAGCCCACAUCCCUGUGAUGAACCCUCAGGAAGAAUCAAAACAGAGGCACAGGGCCUUGUGGAUGGACUCUGCCCCUGCUCCGAGGCCCCAAGAGUCAAGAGUCAAAAAUAUUCUUUGUGCAAUAUCCAUAAAGCACAGGAGAGGACUCCCAGUCCCAGAGUCCACCAGACACCAACACAGAUCCUGGCCGCUCUGCCCGCCUCUAAUUGCUUUCCUCCUUGCUCCGCUUCACUGUGUGAACACUGAGGUUUUCUUUGGAAAAGGCACCAGGCUCACGGUUGUAGACGAUCUGAGCCGGGUGCACCCGCCCAAGGUGGCUGUGUUCGAACCCUCGGAAGCAGAGAUCUCCCGGACCCAGAAGGCCACCCUCGUGUGCCUGGCCACGGGCUUCUACCCCGACCACGUGGAGCUGACCUGGUGGGUGAACAGGAAGCAGGUCACCACUGGGGUCAGCACGGACCCUGAGCCCUACAAAGAGGACCUCACGCAGAAUGACUCCAGAUACUGUCUGAGCAGCCGGCUGAGGGUGACCGCCACCUUCUGGCACAACCCCCGCAACCACUUCCGAUGCCAAGUCCAGUUCUACGGGCUCACGGACGAGGACCAGUGGGAGGAGCAGGACAGGGACAAGCCUGUCACCCAGAACAUCAGCGCCGAGACCUGGGGCAGAGCAGACUGUGGCGUCACCUCCGCAUCUUAUCAGCAAGGCGUCCUGUCUGCCACCCUCCUCUAUGAGAUCCUGCUGGGGAAGGCCACCCUGUACGCUGUGCUGGUCAGCGCCCUGGUGCUGAUGGCCAUGGUAAGGAGGGGCCAGGAUGGGGCAGGCAGGUUGGAGGUGACACUGGAAAUGCAGCAACACAGACCUAGGAACGUAGAGACCCCACCAGGACCAGAGGUGGGCAGAGAGGAAGAAGGGGUUCACCCACACCUUGCCCCUCUGUGAUCACAGUGGAAGAGCCAUGCUGGGCAGGAGAAACUGGGGUCACCAGAAAACCAGUGGCUGGAUGUUGGGAGGAGACCUGCUAUUCGUCUUGUCAGGGGGACACCCUGCUUCCUCUCGGUCCCCAGCACUCCUGGCUCCUGGUGACCCUCACACCUUCUCUUCCUCAGGUCAAGAGAAAAGAUUCCUGAAGCCAGCUUCCAGCCGGUUACUGCCCUGAUGGGAAUUCUGCUUUUCCCGUUCCUACCCAGCGCUUCUGAAGAGCUGCCCUCAUCUCUGGACUCAGCCCAGCGUCCACCCCCAUGUGCGGGUGCCCCAAAGUCUCAGGACCAGGAUCUCCCUAACCCAGGGGAGACCCUAGGGGGACUGAACUUACUGAACCAAUAAAAAUGGCCUGUUGUGUUCA
rnacentral:lncRNA from 1 species